rnacentral:rRNA from 1 species
GAUGAACGCUGGCGGCGUGCCUAAUACAUGCAAGUCGAGCGAACAGACGCGGAGCUUGCUCCUCUGACGUUAGCGGCGGACGGGUGAGUAACACGUGGAUAACCUACCUAUAAGUCUGGGAUAACUUCGGAAAACCGGAGCUAAUACCGGAUAAUAUAUUGCACCGCAUGGUUCAAUAGUGAAAGACGGUUUUGCUGUCUCGUAUCGAUGGAUCCAGGCCGCAUUAGCGAGUUGGUAAGGUAACGGCUUACCAAGGCGACGAGGCGUUGCCGACCUGUUGGGCUGAUAGGCGACAUGGGAGCGGAGACGCGGUCCAGACUCCUACGGGAGGCAGCAGUAGGGAAUCUGCCGCAAUGGGGGAAAGCCUGGCGGAGCAGCGGCGCGUGAGUGAUGAAGGUGCUCGGAUCGUAAAACUCUGUUAUUAGGGAAGAACAAAUGUGUAAGUAACUAUGCACGUCUUGACGGUACCUAAUAAGAAAGCCACGGCUAACUACGUG